UUUUUAGAGUUUGAUUCCCUGCUCAGGACGAACGCUGGCGGCGUGCCUAAUACAUGCAAGUCGAACGCUUCUUUCCUCCCGAGUGCUUGCACUCAAUUGGAAAGAGGAGUGGCGGACGGGUGAGUAACACGUGGGUAACCUACCCAUCAGAGGGGGAUAACACUUGGAAACAGGUGCUAAUACCGCAUAACAGUUUAUGCCGCAUGGCAUAAGAGUGAAAGGCGCUUUCGGGUGUCGCUGAUGGAUGGACCCGCGGUGCAUUAGCUAGUUGGUGAGGUAACGGCUCACCAAGGCCACGAUGCAUAGCCGACCUGAGAGGGUGAUCGGCCACACUGGGACUGAGACACGGCCCAGACUCCUACGGGAGGCAGCAGUAGGGAAUCUUCGGCAAUGGACGAAAGUCUGACCGAGCAACGCCGCGUGAGUGAAGAAGGUUUUCGGAUCGUAAAACUCUGUUGUUAGAGAAGAACAAGGACGUUAGUAACUGAACGUCCCCUGACGGUAUCUAACCAGAAAGCCACGGCUAACUACGUGCCAGCAGCCGCGGUAAUACGUAGGUGGCAAGCGUUGUCCGGAUUUAUUGGGCGUAAAGCGAGCGCAGGCGGUUUCUUAAGUCUGAUGUGAAAGCCCCCGGCUCAACCGGGGAGGGUCAUUGGAAACUGGGAGACUUGAGUGCAGAAGAGGAGA
rnacentral:rRNA from 1 species